rnacentral:tRNA from 1 species
GGAGGGAUGGCCGAGUGGACGAAGGCGACGGUCUUGAAAACCGUUGUGGCUGAGAGGUCACCGUGGGUUCGAAUCCCACUCCCUCCGCCU